rnacentral:rRNA from 1 species
UCGGGAAUAUUGCGCAAUGGAGGAAACUCUGACGCAGUGACGCCGCGUGCAGGAAGAAGGUUUUCGGAUUGUAAACUGCUUUAGACAGGGAAGAUAACCACAGUACCUGUAGAAUAAGCUCCGGCUAACUACGUGCCAGCAGCCGCGGUAAUACGUAGGGAGCAAGCGUUAUCCGGAUUUAUUGGGUGUAAAGGGUGCGUAGACGGGAAGGCAAGUUAGUUGUGAAAUCCCUCGGCUUAACUGAGGAACUGCAACUAAAACUAUCUUUCUUGAGUGUUGGAGAGGAAAGUGGAAUUCCUAGUGUAGCGGUGAAAUGCGUAGAUAUUAGGAGGAACACCAGUGGCGAAGGCGACUUUCUGGACAAUAACUGACGUUGAGGCACGAAAGUGUGGGGUAGCAAACAGGAUUAGAUACCC